UGCCAGCAGCCGCGGUAAUACGAAGGGUGCUAGCGUUGUUUGGAAUUACUGGGCGUAAAGAGCAUGUAGGCGGAUGAAUUAGUCAGAGGUGAAAGCCCCGAGCUCAACUUGGGAACUGCCUUUGAUACUGCAAAUCUUGAGUUCGGAAGGGAGAGGCGGAAUUCCAGGUGUAGUGGUGAAAUGCGUAAAUAUCAGGAGGAACACCGGUGGCGAAGGCGACCAUCUGGGACGGAACUGACGCUGAUGAACGAAAGCUAGGGUAUCAAACGGGAUUAGAUA
rnacentral:rRNA from 1 species